UACGAAGGGGGCUAGCGUUGCUCGGAAUGACUGGGCGUAAAGGGCGCGUAGGCGGUUCAUACAGUCAGAUGUGAAAUUCCUGGGCUCAACCUGGGGGCUGCAUUUGAUACGUGUGGACUAGAGUGGGGAAGAGGGUCGUGGAAUUCCCAGUGUAGAGGUGAAAUUCGUAGAUAUUGGGAAGAACACCGGUGGCGAAGGCGGCGACCUGGUCCUUGACUGACGCUGAUGCACGAAAGCUAGGGGAGCAAACAGG
rnacentral:rRNA from 1 species